GAGUGGGCUGGGCAGUCGCGGCACUUUAGUGACGAGGAAAGUCCGAGCUCCCCACAGCAGGGUAACGGCUAACGGCCGCCGAGGGUGACCUUAGGGAAAGUGCAACAGAAAGAAACCGCCGCGUCCGCGCGGUAAGGAUGGAAAGGCGAGGUAAGAGCUCACCGGCGCGCAGGAGACUGCGCGGCCCUGUAAACCCUACCCGGAGCAACACCGACCGGAAGCAGCAAUGAGCGCUCGCUGGGCGUAUUUCCGACGGGUGGCUUGAGCGCUGGGGCAACCCCGCGCCUAGAUAGAUGACUGCCUUCAAAGACAGAACUCGGCUUACAGGUCCACUCAU
rnacentral:RNase_P_RNA from 1 species